GUGCAGAGUUGCAGAAAGGCUUUAGAAACCAGUUUUUAAUAAAAAGCAACAAGUAAGACUAUUCUGGCUAAUUGCAUAGUGACACUUUUGUCAAAGAGUGAAUCUCUAGUGGUUAAAGCACGCACUGGGAACCUUAUGCUUUUGAGUCUGCACUGACCUACUUUACAGUGUUGAAUGAAUCACUCAGUUUCUCUUUAGCUUUACCAUCUCGCAGUAAGCUGCCUAUGAAAAUGCAGGAUUGUAAUACUUUUCUUUUGGUCCAUUUGGAUUUUUAAAGAGUCGACUGGUUUUGUUUUGUUUUGCUUCUUUGUUGAGAUAACACAACCCACGUAUGUAGCAUUUUUAUAAAUAAUGUAUUACAUACUUUUAUAAAAAUGUUUCCUUUAUUACAGUACUUGGAGAAUUUUGUAACUGAACUAUUUAUCUGGAGUGCAGAAACUUGAGAGUCCUUAUACCUUUUAGAUUUUUCCCUCCUUAUGCUGAAUUUUUUAAAAGAAACGUAAAAAAAAGGGCAUUUGUCCAAAGAUUUUUUUUUUUUUUUUUUACUUACAGCAUGAUCCUUACUAGUUGCACCUUGACAUCUUGCUUUCUAUUAUGACAUGUGUCUUACUUCAAACUUUUGCUUUCCAUGAUACCUUGUUACUCCUCAAUCCUCUCUACUCCUUUGAUUUGAGUGCAAUGGCAACUGGUCUUAGGACAACUAUAAUUUGUUGAAGAGCACCAGCUGAAAUAGAUAGGCUAUUUCCAGUUGAAUCUGCUUGGGGAAAAAAAAAAUAUCUGCAGUCCUGGAAUGCCUUGCCAAAGAUAACGAGAAAGAAGAAAAUACGAAAAAAGAAAAAGAAUAGUGGUUCAGGUCUUUUAGCUGCAAACUUCUCUCUGGAAGUGGAGACCCUCCAGAGUUUCCCUCCAGCAUGAGGCCUAAGUGAUCAAAGACAUGGGUGGAAGCUUCUUGGGUGAGAUUUUUGCUUUACUUUGUCCGGAGGAAGAAAAAGGAAGUCGAGAAAUUUAUUAUCAUCUUCCCUGUCAUGAACAACUUUACUUCAGACGCGCUGCCACAAGUUUUCCCGCUAAGGUUCUUCAGCUUUUCACUGGAUAGGUGUGAUUUUUUUCAUUUUUGCUCCUUUUUCAUUUUUCUCCCCUUUGUCCUGGCAUGGUGCUUGCACUGAAUGGAAAGUACAGAAAGUAGUAGAAACGGCACCAUCAUUUUUAAUUAAAGUACUCCUGCUUCACACCACUUUCAACUGACCUCUGCAAAACAGUGGUUUCUAAGUAUUUCCACGGGCGAGGCUACUUUUGGUUGUACUUCCAGGCUCGUGACUCUUUGUCUUGGUGAACUCCCACUUCCAGAAGUGAGUUGCCUUCAAGCCUGUGUGGAGACUGCUGUGAGAAGGGGUCUAGCCGCAUCCCCUCGCCCCUUGCUGUUGCAGCCCUAAUUCACGACUUGCAGCGCUGUGUCUCACUCCCAACUGUGCAACUAUAACAGCCUAAAUGUUCAUUAUCACCCUGCGAGCUGCUGACGCAUCUGAGAUUUUAAAUCUGCGUGAAAAUACCUCCAGCUUGGAAUUUUUUGGUAUUAAAAUGAGGAGUGUUAGGAAACAUUAUCAGCAACUUCUUACCUCCACCCGAAGCCGUGUUUGUGAGUAGGAAGUGUGAAUCCGUUUGGAUGCCAAACACGCGCGCGCACAUGCACUCCCAGUGAAUCUUAAUUAAGGAAUACGCCACCAGCCAGUAUAGAUUUAUUUUUCUUAAAUAUAUUCCAGAAAAAUCUAGCAGGUUUAUAAAGAUUACCAUGCCAUUAAGUCAUAAUAGUAGAACAGAGUUCUUACUGAACCAGAAAACAAGCAAAGGAAUAGAGGCAGAGAGAUGACAGCCUGCUGUGAAACCAAUAGUUACAGAUUGGUUUCCUCUAGUCGCAGUUACCUUUAACUGCUUUAGAUUCUCAACAGCUUUUCAUUAAAAAUCUCCAUGUGGCCUUUUAAAAAAGGAAGUGCAUGAUCUCCUUAUUUUCGCAAAUGCAGGUACAAUGUGUAUAAUACUAACUCCAGAU
ensembl:lncRNA